rnacentral:rRNA from 1 species
UGGGGAAUAUUGGACAAUGGGGGGAACCCUGAUCCAGCCAUGCCGCGUGUGUGAAGAAUGCCUUAUGGUUGUAAAGCACUUUAAGCGAGGAGGAGGCUCUCUUGGUUAAUACCCAAGAUGAGUGGACGUUACUCGCAGAAUAAGCACCGGCUAACUCUGUGCCAGCAGCCGCGGUAAUACAGAGGGUGCGAGCGUUAAUCGGAUUUACUGGGCGUAAAGCGUGCGUAGGCGGCUUUUUAAGUCGGAUGUGAAAUCCCCGAGCUAAACUUGGGAAUUGCAUUCAAUACUGGGAAGCUAGAGUAUGGGGAGGGAUGGUAGAAUUCCAGGUGUAGCGGGGAAAUGCGUAGAAAUCUGAAGGAAUACCGAUGGCGAGGGCAGCCAUCUGGCCUAAUACUGACGCUGAGGUACAAAGGCAUGGGGAGCAAACA